rnacentral:rRNA from 1 species
UACGAAGGGGGCUAGCGUUGUUCGGAAUUACUGGGCGUAAAGCGCGCGCAGGCGGCUAUCCAAGUCAGUGGUGAAAGCCCGGAGCUCAACUCCGGAACUGCCAUUGAAACUGUUUAGCUUGAGGAUGAGAGAGGUGAGUGGAAUUCCCAGUGUAGAGGUGAAAUUCGUAGAUAUUGGGAAGAACACCGGUGGCGAAGGCGGCCUGCUGGGCAGUAGCUGACACUGAGGCGCGACAGCGUGGGGAGCAAACAGG